CAUAAGCAGAUGGCCUCCCGCCCCUCCCCCAGGCGGAUUUCUUAAUGGGGUGAAAAUGCCAGUCCCCGAAGCCAGGGUCCCCGGACCCCCGGGCCGAGCUGGGCGCGGGAGCCCCGCAGGGACGGAGAGGCCGCCGAGCUUGAAGAAGUGGAGGAGAGAUCUACACAACUUAAGUGAGGCGUCCCCAUCCCGUCUUCCUGCUCGCCCUACUUUGUCCCCAGCUCCAUCUCUGCGACACCCUGCCCCCCUCCCCCAAAGAAGUCAGUCCCAGGCUCUGUCUGCAGAGAGCCAGGGUGAGAGCGGGCAAGGCAAGAGAGCGACCUCGGUCGUGGGCAAGUAGCUUGUUUUUACGUCCUUCAAUAAAAUUUUUAUGAGGAUCAUUUGAUUGUUCAUAAAUGUGUCUUUCAUUAAAUAAAAUUGUAGGCUGUUUUGGAACGGGAAAAAAGCAACGGAGGGAUGGGAGAGAGCGGUUUCUUUGGGGUCUGAUGCAGAAAUUCUGGAGGGGGCAGUGUGAUUGUAGGAAAGAUCAGACAACUUCGAUUCUUCCCCCCAGUAAGUUGGCUGCUACCCUCCUCCUUGAAUUUGGGGUUCGUUGCCCAGCCCUCUGCUUUCCAUCAGACUGUCCCAUGAUGGUUUCGUAAAGGUGGGCUUUAGGCAAGCAGGAAUUCUCAGAAUGGGUGCAAGAGAGGGGCAGGGAGGUUGGCUGGGGGGCAGAAGGGCAGGUGGGGUCCCCAGAGACAGAUGCAUCCUAGGCAUGGCACAGUGAGUUUGGAGGAGGGGUGCAAUUUCAGAGUCAGAAGGGAAGAGCCCCAGUUUGCGCUAAGGGAAAUAGGCAGGAGCUGAGGCUGAGCUGCAGGCUCUGAGGCAGCAGGGAAGGACAAGGAUUCCCAGACCCAAGAUGCCUGCCCUUCUUUCCCACUCCUGUCCCCAGGAGGGCACCAAAUGCCAGGGGUGGGGGCGGAGGCUAGUUUUCUCCUGCAUCUCUGUUGACUUGUCUCCUCUGGGGUGGAGAAGGCCAGAAAGAGGUGUCCCAGAGAGUGUAGUGUGUGUGUUGGGGGGGAGGGAAGUUGAGGGGGGAAGGGUAGAUCUGCAGCCUGCAGCACUGACCCCAGCUUGCCAGGCCCCCUCCCCAGUCCCUGCUCCUCCCCCUCUCUGGUUCUUUCCUUUUCGGUCAAGCGGGGCUGGGAUUUCGACGCACGGGGGGGGAUGUGAGAAGUGCCUGGCUGGGGAGAGGCGACCCCAGGGCCUCAGCCUCCUCACCCUCGGCUCCGGUUGUCUUCCCCUCCCCCGGACUGGACUGGCCUGGGAAAUCUAAAUUACAGCAAGAAACACAAUAUCUCUUUGGCCUUGAAGGAGUCGGGUUAGCUGUCAAUCAAAAAUUCUCCCUCACUAGUUCAAGGAAAAGACAGGAGGUUCCUCUCCCCCUGCCGAGGUUUUCUCCAAAUCCCCAGCACGGGCAGCACCUCCUCCAGCCAGGGUGGCUGGGGGACACUGCCCAGCUCUUGGGAGGCUGCUGGCAGCGAUAAGCAGAGACAUGUAGCCUUCAGCAGGCCCGGGGCCAGACUGCGACCAAGAGGACAUCAGGGGACAGAGCCUGUGAGAGACUGAGCCUGAGACAGCCUGAGAAAGAACAUCUGAAACACGGCGCCAGGCCCAUGGAGAGGAAGGAAGGAAGGGAGGAGGGAAGGAAAGAAGAAAACGGAGAAUUUGGAUAAAAAGGAGAGAGGGGAGAAUUAAAGAAAAGAGGGGAGGCAAGAUGAAAGGAGACAGGAGAGUAGGGAAAGGAAGACGUGCAGAAAGCGAGCCGGAGGAAGGGCGGCGACAGGCAGGCAGGACGGGGCAGGGCGCGGGCUGGCGGAGCAGCCGUGGCAUUGUGCAGUCCGCUAGCUUGCCGGGCCUUUGCCGCGGGACCAGCUCCGGGGCGCAGCGGCCACUUCUGUCCGGACACAAAGGAGGAAGAGGCCUCCUCUCCUGCCCCUCCCAGGCGACCUGCUGGGGUGGGUACACUAGGCCUCUGGGAUGGAGAACCCCAUCUCGGCCCAGGCAUCCACCCAGGAGCGAAGAAGACAGGGCGAAGGAGCUUUCACGCCGGCUCCUCCUUUGCAUCUUUGCCAGGCGACAGGCCCAUCCGCCCCAACCUCGGUUUUCCUAGAAGAAAGAUGCCCCUAAAGAUCCUCUCUUAUGGGCCUCUUUUAUUUGGGAGAGCCCCUCAGACACAGUGGCUGUAAACAGAUGCCCCUUUCUCUCUUACCCCACUUUGGCCACUGCCUUCUUUUCAACUCUGGAGCUGCCUGCCCACCCUGCCUGCCCACCCAGCAGAGGCAGCAGCAGCAGGGCAGCGGGAUCACCCAGGAUCACUCAGCCCACGCUCCCUGCUGCCAUCAAAUUCCCCGAGAAACUGAGGGGAGAUUGUCACCUUCGUUUUAGACCGUGAACUCAGACCUUCCCCACUCAGGCACAGACACAGCUGUGGAUCAGGAAGCAGGCCUCGCCCACAGCCCCCUCGCCACCAAUGCCCCAUUUUGCCUAGGCCUUGCUGAGAGAGGCAGGCUUGAGGAGGGGGCUGGAAGAGGCUGGGAGUCCCUGAGUUCACCAGGCCAGGCCGAGGGCCCUCAGGUUCCACAACUGCACAACUGCACGUGGGUUGUACCCCAAUUCUCUGCCUUUGGAGGUGGGGUGGUAGCUCAGGGCUCUGAAGCAGACCUUCAGGCUCCCCCUAAUCCAGGCCUGUAGGUGUGGAGGCACAAAGAGUGUAGGGGCACCAAGAAGGAGGGGCUUGUCUUCCCAGGUUCAGUGACUCCAGCUGAAUCUCCUGCCAGACUCCCAGACUCCCUCUCACCCCCACCUCUCCCUUCAAUUUUCCUCAGCACUGCUGGGGCAAAACCAAGGGACUGGAGGCCACUGGGAGUCUCUGUUGGGGAGGGGGUUGGGGAACCCCAGGUUUAGCUGGCAGCUCUGCAUCCACUCUGGUUCUUAGAGUGCCUCCUCGACCCCAAAAGGUUUCACAGGGCACAGGAGAGCCCCCUAAGGGGGAGGGGCACCCUACUCCAUCACCUCAGACCUGGACAGCUGCCACCACAACCAAGCUAGCACCACCGUGGGAAGGACAAACAGACAGAAAGACAGGUUAGAGUCAUCCCCUCCCCCUGCCCUGCACCUCCCUUUUAGUGAUUUAAAUUCCCUCCGGUUCAAUCCACACCGUCAAGUUCGGAUUAAAUUUAAAACAGGCUUUUCCCCGUCCCCCAGCCGGCCAUCCCGGCCUCUGCAGGCAGGGAGCCCGCUCCCGGCUCGUCAGCACCCGCCCGUCUGCCUGCGCGCGGAGGAGGCCCUGCUCCAUUUGCUUUCAUUUUCCUUCUCCCCCUGAAAUGGGCUCAUUUCACCUCUCCGCUGCCCUCUCCCCCUCCCCGCCCCCUCCCUGGUUCCCCUCUACUUUCCCCCCUUCUCUCUCCUGAUCCCUCUUUGUUGGGAAAAACACACCCACACACAACUCCUCCUAGCUAAGGCCUGCGCUGGAAGCAGAGACUGAAUUCUUCUGGCCUGCCGCGAGGAGACCCGCGUCCUGCCCCCACCCCAGGGCGUUGGGCAGAGACCCGGAAGACUCCGUCCCUCGGUCCCUCUGGCUUGGUCCAAUCCCGCCUCGGGAAGCGCCUUCGUUACCUGCUCCUCGGCUCCCCACGGCCACAGAUGCAGGGCAGCCGCCUCCCGCCG